UACAGAGGUCUCAAGCGUUGUUCGGAUUCAUUGGGCGUAAAGGGUGCGUAGGCGGCGCGGUAAGUCGGGUGUGAAAUCUCGGAGCUUAACUCCGAAACUGCAUUCGAUACUGCCGUGCUUGAGGACUGGAGAGGAGACUGGAAUUUACGGUGUAGCGGUGAAAUGCGUAGAUAUCGGAAGGAAGACCAGUGGCGAAGGCGGGUCUCUGGACAGUUCCUGACGCUGAGGCACGAAGGUCAGGGGAGCAAACAGG
rnacentral:rRNA from 1 species